GACGUAGGAUGCGAGCGUUGUCCGGAAUUAUUGGGCGUAAAGAGCUCGUAGGCGGUUUGUCGCGUCGGCUGUGAAAACUCGGGGCUCAACCCCGAGCCUGCAGUCGAUACGGGCAGACUAGGGUGCUGUAGGGGAGACUGGAAUUCCUGGUGUAGCGGUGAAAUGCGCAGAUAUCAGGAGGAACACCGGUGGCGAAGGCGGGUCUCUGGGCAGUAACUGACGCUGAGGAGCGAAAGCGUGGGGAGCGAACAGG
rnacentral:rRNA from 1 species